AGCAGCCGCGGUAAUUCCAGCUCCAAUAGCGUAUAUUAAAGUUGUUGCAGUUAAAAAGCUCGUAGUUGAAUUUCGGGGUUAGUAGGUUGGUCAUGCCUCUGGUAUGUACUGGUCUCACUGAUUCCUCCUUCCUGAUGAGCCGUAAUGCCAUUAAUUUGGUGUUGCGGGGAAUUUGGACUGUUACUUUGAAAAAUUAGAGUGUUUAAAGCAAGCUAACGCUUGAAUACAUUAGCAUGGAAUAAUGAAAUAGGACGUUCGAUCCUAUUUUGUUGGUUUCUAGGAUUGACGUAAUGAUUAAUAGGGAUAGUUGGGGGCAUUAGUAUUCAAUUGUCAGAGGUGAAAUUCUUGGAUUUAUUGAAGACUAACUACUGCGAAAGUAUUUGCCAAGGAUGUUUUCAUUAAUCAAGAACGAAAGUUAGGGGAUCGAAGACGAUCAGAUACCGUCGUAGUCUUAACCAUAAACUAUGCCGACUAGGGAUCGGAUGAUGUUAAUUUUUAAUGACUCA
rnacentral:rRNA from 1 species